rnacentral:tRNA from 1 species
GUCGUUGGUAGGCCAACUGAUUUUUUGGACUUUUAAUCUGUAGGUCCUGGGUUCGAGUCCCAGCGCGCUCACCA